rnacentral:rRNA from 1 species
UACAGAGGUGGCAAGCGUUGUUCGGAAUUACUGGGCGUAAAGGGCGCGUAGGCGGCCAUCUAAGUCAGACGUGAAAUCCCCCGGCUUAACCUGGGAACUGCAUCUGAUACUGGACGGCUCGAGUUUGGGAGAGGGAUGUGGAAUUCCAGGUGUAGCGGUGAAAUGCGUAGAUAUCUGGAGGAACACCGGUGGCGAAGGCGGCAUCCUGGACCAACACUGACGCUGAGGCGCGAAAGCUAGGGGAGCAAACGGG